rnacentral:rRNA from 1 species
UACGUAGGGGGCUAGCGUUGUCCGGAUUUAUUGGGCGUAAAGAGCGUGUAGGCGGCCAGGUAGGUCUGGUGUGAAAACUCGAGGCUUAACCUCGAGAUGUCAUCGGAAACCAUCUGGCUAGAGUCCGGAAGAGGAGAGUGGAAUUCCUGGUGUAGCAGUGAAAUGCGUAGAUAUCAGGAGGAAUACCGAUGGCGAAGGCAGGUCUCUGGGCUAUAACUGACGCUCAUGCACGAAAGCGUGGGGAGCAAACAGG